AAGCUGUAACCUCGGUGACCUAACUUUGAUAUUUCAACAACAUAGCCAAGCGCGCCACAGUACAAAUGCUAAAUUACCACUCAGCGCCAAAAGGCCCACUGCAUGAAAUGCCACAUCAAAGAUGAGCGUUGUAGUAUGCUGAAUAUGUCACAGGUAAGAGUAUUAAUACAUUCUUCUCUACCAUAAGCCCCCAGCCCUUCGGCGAGACCUUAAGAGUACACAUUCUUCUCUACCACAAGUCCCCAACCCUUCGGUGAGACCUUACAAUUUGGUAAAGGCGUAAGGCAGCCACCUUCGUGACAUAAAGCCCUGUAAAUUAGCAUAAUAUAGACCUAUAUCUACAGUUAUAUCCGCCUCAGAUGGUCCGGAAUUCACCAUACAGUUAAAAUUUACUGAAAAACAGAACCCGCCUUCGCAGCAUCAUAUUGUGAUUCCCAGUUCAGGAAGUACCAAGCAGCAAAAUUGAAACCAUAUCGACCUCGUAUUCAGGAUAGAUUUGUGAACAAUGGAGCAGAUACAUUGGAAGCAAUCUGACCAUCACU
rnacentral:lncRNA from 1 species